rnacentral:rRNA from 1 species
AAUUAUACAACUUUUAACAACGGAUCUCUUGGCUCUCGCAUCGAUGAAGAACGCAGCGAAAUGCGAUAAGUAAUGUGAAUUGCAGAAUUCAGUGAAUCAUCGAAUCUUUUGAACGCCCUUGCGCUCCUUGGAUUCCGGGGAGCAUGCCUGUUUG